AGUGUACGCUUGCGCAGCUCCAAGGGGAGGGGGCCGCUAGAGGUGAACUCCAAGGAGUUAUCCAGGUCCGGUCUGCGGGUGCUCGCCUUAAUACUGCUCUCUGAGCGUCAGCUACUUGUAUUCGGGGCUUAACACCACAUGGAAGCUGCUGGUUUACAGCUUGUGCCCUCUGAAGCAGUGUCCUGGACCCCUUUGAGCCAAGGCUGGAGCCAGAGCAGCCAGGAUAUGAAGAGCAGUGUCCUGAGGCUGUGUAGUAUAGCACAGCCCAGGGCUUGGCCCUGAAACCAUUAUUUCCUGGUAGACCUCUGGGCUGUCCCAAAGACUUCUGAAAUGCCUCCUAGUCUUUUUUUUCCCUCAUUGUCUUGGAUAUUAGCACUUGGCUCCCUUUUAGUAAUGCUAAUCUCUCUAGCAAGUGAUUGCUCUACAGUCUGCUUGGAUUCUUUCUUUACCACAGGGCUAAGAUGCACAUUUUCUGAACUUAUGCUCUACUUUCCUUUUAAAUAUAAGUACCAACUUCGUCAUUUAUUUGCUCCUAUAUCUGAUAAUAUGCUGUUAUAAGCAACCAGGCUACAUCUUGAAUGCUUUCCUGCUUAGAAAUUUCUUGUACCAGGGCUGCAUUGCAGCCGCCACGGCGUCGCUUGGCUCCUCACUCCCAACAAUGGCAGCUCCGAGACUGAGCGGCGGCUGCGGCUCCGGGGGCAGCAGCGGCAGCCUCACCCCGGGACCUGUAGGAUCCCUGAAGCCAGGCCACCCAGCCAUCAGCAGCAUGCAGGGUAAACGCAAAGCACUGAAGUUGAAUUUUGCAAAUCCACCUUUCAAAUCUACAGCAAGGUUUACUCUGAAUCCCAAUCCUACAGGAGUUCAAAACCCACACAUAGAGAGACUGAGAUCACACAGCAUUGAGUCAUCAGGAAAACUGAAGAUCUCCCCUGAACAACACUGGGAUUUCACUGCAGAGGACUUGAAAGACCUUGGAGAAAUUGGAUGAGGAGUUUAUGGUUCUGCCAACAAAAUGGUCCACAAACCAAGUGGGCAAAUAAUGGCAGUUAAAAGAAUUCGGUCAACAGUGAAUGAAAAAGAACAAAAACAACCUCUUACGGAUUUGGAUGAAGUAAUGCAGAGUAGUGAUUGCCCUUACAUUGUUCAGUUUUAUGAUGCACUCUACAGACAGGGUGACUGUUGGACCUGUAUGGAACUCAUGUCUAUCUCGUUUGAUAAGUUUUACAAAUAUGUGUAUAGUGUAUUAGAUGAUGUUAUUCCAGAAGAAAUUUUAGGCAGAAUCACUUUAGCAUCUGUGAAAGCAUUAAAUCACUUAAAAGAAAACUUGAAAAUUAUUCACAGAGAUAUCAAACCUUCCAAUAUUCUUCUGGACAGAAGUGAAAAUAUUAAACUCUGUGACUUUGGCAUCAGUGGGCAGCUUGUGGACUCUAUUGCCAAGACAGAAGAUGCUGGCUGUAGGCCAUACAUGGCACCUGAAAGAAUAGACCCAAGUGCAUCAUGACAAGCAUAUGAUGUCUGCUCUGAUGUCUGGAGUUUGGGGAUCACAUUGUGUGAGUUGGCCACGGGCUGAUUUCCUUAUCCAAAGUGGAAUAGUGUAUUUGAUCAACUAACACAAGUCGUGAAAGGAGAUCCUCCGCAGCUGAGUAAUUCUGAGGAAAACGAAUUCUCCCCAAGUUUCAUCAACUUUGUCAACUUGUGCCUUACGAAGGAUGAAUCCAAAAGACCACAGCAUAAAGAGCUUCUGAAACAUCUUUUUAUUUUGAUUUAUGAAGAACGUACCAUUGAAGUCGCAUGCUAUGUUUUGUCAAAUCCUGGAUCAAAUGCCAGCUACUCCCAGCUUUCCCAUGUAUGUUGUUUGAUAUCGCUGCUACAUCAGACUAAAAAAAAGGGCUGAGAGGAAGCAAAAGGUAAAGAAUUUUCAUCCCUAUCACAGUGUUUUUAUUGCUCACCCAGACACCAUGUGCAAUGACAUUGGUGUUCAUUUCCAUCAUGUCUACAUAUUCCUGUCACCUAGAACGUGCAUCCUGGUAAUACCUGAUUGAUCACACAGUGUUAGUGCUGGUCAGAGAGACCUCAUCCUGCUCUUUUGUGAUGAACAUAUUCAUGAAAUGUAGAAGUCAGUAUGAUCAAGUUGUUGACUGUGAUUAGAUCACAUCUUAUAUUCAUUUAUAGACUCCAAACCUGGAGAUGCAGCUACUGGAAUGGUGUUUUAUCAGACUUCCAAAUCCUGGAAGGACACGGUGAUGGAUGUACUAUGUCUGAACAUAGAGACUCAGGCUUGAGUGAGAAGAGCUUGCACAGCCAACGAGACACAUUGCCUUCUGGAGCUAGGAGACAAAGGAGGAAUUUACUUUCUUCACCAAGUGCAAUAGAUUUACUGAUGUGAUAUUCUGUUGCUUUACAGUUACAGUUGAUGUUUGGGGAUUGAUGUGCUCAGCCAAAUUUCCUGUUUGACAUAUCAUGUUAAAUUAGAAUGAAUUUAUCUUUACCAAAAACCAUGUUGCGUUCAAAGAGGUGAACAUUAAAAUAUUGAGACAGG
ensembl:lncRNA MAP2K4P1 mitogen-activated protein kinase kinase 4 pseudogene 1